GGGGCUGUAGCUCAAUGGGAGAGCACCUGCCUUGCACGUAGGGGGUUGCUAGUUCGAAUCUAGUCAGCUCCACCA
rnacentral:tRNA from 1 species